AUGAACGCUAGCGGCAGGCCUAACACAUGCAAGUCGAGGGGGAAGUUACUUUCGGGUGACUGAGACCGGCGUACGGGUGCGUAACGCGUAUACAAUCUGCCUUUCACUGGGGGAUAGCCCGAAGAAAUUUGGAUUAAUACCCCAUAGUAUAUAGGGACGGCAUCGUUUUUAUAUUAAAGCUUAGGUGGUGAAAGAUGAGUAUGCGUUCUAUUAGCUAGUUGGAGAGGUAACGGCUCCCCAAGGCGAUGAUAGAUAGGGGUUCUGAGAGGGAUGCCCCCCACACUGGUACUGAGAUACGGACCAGACUCCUACGGGAGGCAGCAGUGAGGAAUAUUGGACAAUGGUCGGAAGACUGAUCCAGCCAUGCCGCGUGCAGGAUGAAGGUCUUAUGGAUUGUAAACUGCUUUUGUAAGGGAAGAAUAAGGGCUACGCGUAGUUUGAUGACGGUACCUUACGAAUAAGCAUCGGCUAACUCCGUG
rnacentral:rRNA from 1 species